rnacentral:rRNA from 1 species
UUGGCUUAGAAGCAGCCACCCUUUAAAGAAAGCGUAAUAGCUCACUGGUCAAGCGAGCCCGCGCCGAAAAUACAACGGGGCUCAAGCUCGACACCGAAGCCGCGGGCUCUCGUAAGAGAGCGGUAGGGGAGCAUUCUCACGGAGAUACACGCCGGACGGAGACGACCGGUAGCGGCCGUGAGAAGAGCUUAUGCAGGCAUGAGUAGCGAUAAACCGAGUGAGAAACUUCGGUCGCCGUAAGCCCAAGGUUUCCUGGGGAAGGAUAAUCCUCCCAUGGGUCAGUCGGUCCCUAAGCCGAGGCCGAAAGGCGUAGGUGAUGGAUGGCAGGUUAAUAUUCCUGCACCACCAGGGAUGGCGUUGAAGUAAGCGGGGACGGAGAAGGGUAGGCCUAGCGCAGCGCAAGGUCGUCUGCGUUCAAGCCCGUAGGGUGAGCCGUGAGGACCCGAUAGGGACAAACCACGGCUCGCAUGCCCGAGAGGUGAUGAGGUCCGGAUUCAUCCGGAACACUAGGUGAUCCCAAGCUUCCAAGAAAAGCCGCGUACAGAGCCACUCUGGUGACCGUACCGCAAACCGACUCAGGUGGGCGGGGUGAAUAUCCCAAGGCGCGUGAGAGAACCCUGGUUAAGGAACUAGGCAAAAUAACACCGUAACUUCGGGAGAAGGUGUGCCGUUGAUGGUGAAGCCCUCCUCGGGCCGAGCUGUUGGCGGUUGCAGCGAAAUGGGGAUUGUGACUGUUUACUAAAAACAUAGGACUCUGCAAAGUCGAAAGACGACGUAUAGGGUCUGAUGCCUGCCCGGUGCUGGAAGGUUAAGGGGACGAGUCAGCGCAAGCGAAGCUCGAAACCGAAGCCCCAGUAAACGGCGGCCGUAACUAUAACGGUCCUAAGGUAGCGAAAUUCCUUGUCGGGUAAGUUCCGACCUGCACGAAUGGCAUAACAACAUCCCCGCUGUCUCAACCAGGGACUCAGCGAAAUUGUAUUGGGGGUGAAGAUACCCUCUACCCGCGGCAAGACGGAAAGACCCCAUGAACCUUCACUGCAGCUUGGCAGUGAACUUCGGAUUGUUCUGCGUAGGAUAGGUGGGAGGCUGUGAAGUCGGGCUUCCGGGUUCGGCUGAGCCAACGUUGAAAUACCACCCUGGACAAUCUGGGGUUCUAACCUGGACCCAUGAUCUGGGUCGGGGACACUGCCUGGUGGGCAGUUUGACUGGGGCGGUCGCCUCCGAAAACGUAACGGAGGCGUGCGAAGGUUCCCUCAGCCUGAUUGGAAACCAGGCGUAGAGUGCAAACGCAUAAGGGAGCUUAACUGUGAGACCGACAGGUCGAGCAGGUGCGAAAGCAGGUGUUAGUGAUCCGGUGGUUCCAAGUGGAAGGGCCAUCGCUCAUCGGAUAAAAGGUACUCUGGGGAUAACAGGCUGAUCG